rnacentral:rRNA from 1 species
AACGGAAAGGCUCCAGCUUGCUGGAGUACUCGGGUGGCGAACGGGUGAGUAACACGUGGGUAAUCUGCCCUGCACUCUGGGAUAAGCCUGGGAAACUGGGUCUAAUACUGGAUAUGACCUUUCUCCUUAUGGGGUUUGGUGGAAAGUUUUUCGGUGUAGGAUGAGCCCGCGGCCUAUCAGCUUGUUGGUGGGGUGAUGGCCUACCAAGGCGACGACGGGUAGCCGGCCUGAGAGGGUGAUCGGCCACAUUGGGACUGAGAUACGGCCCAGACUCCUACGGGAGGCAGCAGUGGGGAAUAUUGCACAAUGGGCGGAAGCCUGAUGCAGCGACGCCGCGUGAGGGAUGACGGCCUUCGGGUUGUAAACCUCUUUCAGCAGGGACGAAGCGUAAGUGACGGUACCUGCAGAAGAAGCACCGGCUAACUAUGUGCCAGCAGCCGCGGUAAUACGUAGGGUGCGAGCGUUGUCCGGAAUUACUGGGCGUAAAGAGCUCGUAGGCGGUUUGUCACGUCGUCUGUGAAAUCCUAGGGCUUAACCCUGGACGUGCAGGCGAUACGGGCUGACUUGAGUACUACAGGGGAGACUGGAAUUUCUGGUGUAGCGGUGGAAUGCACAGAUAUCAGGAAGAACACCGAUGGCGAAGGCAGGUCUCUGGGUAGUAACUGACGCUGAGGAGCGAAAGCAUGGGUAGCGAACAGGAUUAGAUACCCUGGU